rnacentral:sRNA from 1 species
AGCUAAACCUGAUAGAAACGGAAAUACUUUUUUUAGCAGCAACCCUUAAUUGACGGUGAUGCUGAGGCACGAAGCAUUUGCAGCCGAAGAAAUAGUUGUUUCGUACCUGAGCAUAGCAAGCAGUUUAAAAAGAUUGCAGUGCAUAGCAGGACUAACA